rnacentral:rRNA from 1 species
GACGAACGCUGGCGGCGUGCUUAACACAUGCAAGUCGAACGGAAAGGCCCUGCCUUUGUUGGGUGCUCGAGUGGCGAACGGGUGAGUAACACGUGAGUAACCUGCCCUUGACUUUGGGAUAACUUCAGGAAACUGGGGCUAAUACCGGAUAAGAGCUCCUGCUGCAUGGCGGGGGCUGGAAAGUUUCGACGGUUGGGCUUGCACACGCGGCUUAUCUGCUUUAUGGUGUGGUAGUGGCUUACCAAGGCGUUGACGGGUAGCCGGCCUGAGAGUGUGACCGGCCACAGUGGGACUGAGAUAGCAGCCAGACUGCUACGGGAGGCAGCAGUGGGAAAUAUUGCAAGAUGGGCGGAAGGCUGAUGCAGCAACGUCGGGUCGGGGAGGACGGCUUUCGGGGUGUAAACCGCUUUCGCCUGUGACGAAGCGUGAGUGACGGUAAUGGAUAAAGAAGCAACGGCUAACUACGUG